UGGGGAAUCUUGGACAAUGGGCGCAAGCCUGAUCCAGCCAUGCCGCGUGGAUGAUGAAGGCCCUAGGGUUGUAAAAUCCUUUCGUUGGGGACGAUAAUGACGGUACCCAAAGAAGAAGCUCCGGCUAACUUCGUGCCAGCAGCCGCGGUAAUACGAAGGGGGCUAGCGUUGUUCGGAUUUACUGGGCGUAAAGCGCGUGUAGGCGGGUCGUUAAGUUGGGGGUGAAAUCCCGAGGCUCAACCUCGGAACUGCCUUCAAAACUGGCGACCUGGACUCAAGUAGAGGCAAGUGGAAUUGCGAGUGUAGAGGUGAAAUUCGUAGAUAUUCGCAGGAACACCAGUGGCGAAGGCGGCUCACUGGACGUGUAUUGACGCUGAGGUACGAAAGCGUGGGGAGCAAACAGGAUUAGAUACCCAAGUAGUCCCUGAGCGGGCUGGCAAGGCGCAU
rnacentral:rRNA from 1 species